rfam:Cerapachys biroi unplaced genomic scaffold scaffold83, whole genome shotgun sequence.
GGGAAGAUAGAUACACGAGUGUCGACAAGAUCAGACGACUCGUCACUCGGUUCUUCCAAAAGAAAAAAAAGAAUGCCUUCUGAUGACUGUAACUUGUGAAGUACUAAUUUACAGACAGAUACGGGGCAUACAAGU